rnacentral:rRNA from 1 species
AAUGAACGCUGGCGGCAGGCCUAACACAUGCAAGUCGAACGAGUGGCGGACGGGGGAGUAAUGUCUGGGAACAGGCUCGAAGGAGGGGGAUAAUAACUGGAAAAGGUAGCUAAUACCACAUACCAUCGGAUUGGCACAGAUGGGAUUAGCUAGUGGGUGGGGUAAGGGCACACCUAGGCGAAGAUCCCUAGCUGGUCUGAGGGGAGGAGCACCUACACUGGAACUGAGACACGGUCCAGACUCCUCCGGGAGGAAGCAGUGUGGAAUAUUGCACAAUGGGCGCAAGCCUGAUACAGCCAUGCCGCGUGUAUGAAGAAGGCCUUCGGUUUGUAAAGUACUUUCAGCGAGGAGGCGUUACUCGCAGAAGAAGCACCGGCUAACUCCGUGCCAGCAGCCGCGGUAAUUC